rnacentral:tRNA from 1 species
CGGGGUGUGGCGCAGCUUGGUAGCGCGUUCGCUUUGGGAGCGAAAGGUCCUCGGUUCGAAUCCGGGUACCCCGACCA